GAUGAACGCUGGCGGCGUGCCUAAUACAUGCAAGUAGAACGCUGAAGGAGGAGCUUGCUCUUCUGGAUGAGUUGCGAACGGGUGAGUAACGCGUAGGUAACCUGCCUGGUAGCGGGGGAUAACUAUUGGAAACGAUAGCUAAUACCGCAUGACAACAGUUAUUGCAUGAUAACUGUUUAAAAGGGGCAACUGCUCCACUACCAGAUGGACCUGCGUUGUAUUAGCUAGUUGGUGAGGUAACGGCUCACCAAGGCGACGAUACAUAGCCGACCUGAGAGGGUGAUCGGCCACACUGGGACUGAGACACGGCCCAGACCCCUACGGGAGGCAGCAGUAGGGAAUCUUCGGCAAUGGACGGAAGUCUGACCGAGCAACGCCGCGUGAGUGAAGAAGGGUUUCGGAUCGUAAAGCUCUGUUGUAAGAGAAGAACGAGUGUGAGAGUGGAAAGUUCACACUGUGACGGUAUCUUACCAGAAAGGGACGGCUAACUACGUG
rnacentral:rRNA from 1 species